CGCACAGUUCGAAGGCCGUCAUCCCCUGUACUACAUCUUAGGGUGCUUUCGGUUCAAAGGCUGUGCCAGA
rnacentral:snoRNA from 16 species